rnacentral:rRNA from 1 species
GUUUAAAACGACUCUCGACAACGGAUAUCUCGGCUCUUGCAUCGAUGAAGAACGUAGCGAAAUGCGAUACUUGGUGUGAAUUGCAGAAUCCCGUGAACCAUCGAGUUUUUGAACGCAAAGUUGCGCCCGAAGCCAUUAGGUUGAGGGCACGCCUGCCUGGGUGUCACUAA